ACUGCAGACUGGAAACUCUCAGUCUGUCAGGUUGUCUGGUCUCAGAAGUAGGCUGUACUUCUCUGGCCUCAGCUCUGAGCACCAACCCCUCCCAUCUGAGAGUUCUGGACCUGAGCUACAAUCAUCCAGGAGACUCAGGAGUGAAGAUGCUGUCAGCUGGACUAAAGGAUCCACACUGGAGACUGGACACUCUCAGGACGGACCAUGGUGGACCACAGCGACUGAGACCUGGUGUGAGGAAGUGUGAGUGUGUUUAAAGUUUGAG